rnacentral:rRNA from 1 species
AGGGGGGUAAGAACUAACAGGAUUCCCUAGUAACUGCGAGUGAAGCGGGAUAAGCUCAAAUUUAAAAUCUGGUAGCUUCGCUGCCCGAGUUGUAAUCUGGAGAAGUGCUUUCCGUGCUGGACCGUGUACAAGUCUCUUGGAACAGAGCGUCAUAGAGGGUGAGAAUCCCGUCUUUGACACGGACUACCAGUGCUUUGUGAUGCGCUCUCAAAGAGUCGAGUUGUUUGGGAAUGCAGCUCAAAAUGGGUGGUAAAUUCCAUCUAAAGCUAAAUAUUGGCGAGAGACCGAUAGCGAACAAGUACCGUGAGGGAAAGAUGAAAAGAACUUUGGAAAGAGAGUUAAACAGUACGUGAAAUUGCUGAAAGGGAAACGCUUGAAGUCAGUCGCGUUGGCCGGAACUCAGCCUGGCUUUGGCUUGGUGCAUUUUCUGGUUGACGGGUCAGCAUCAGUUUUGAUUGUCGGAUAAUGGUUGGGGGAAUGUGGCAUCUUCGGAUGUGUUAUAGCCCUCAGUCGCAUACGAUGGUUGGGACUGAGGAUCUCAGCACACCUUUAUGGUCGGGGUUCGCCCACGUUUGUGCUUAGGAUGCUGGCAUAAUGGCUUUAAACGACCCGUCUUGAAACACGGACCAAGGAGUCUAACAUGCAUGCGAGUGUUUGGGUGGAAAACCCGAGCGCGUAAUGAAAGUGAAAGUUGAGAUCCCUGUCGUGGGGAGCAUCGACGCCCGGACCAGACCUUCUGUGACGGCUCUGCGGUGGAGCAUGUAUGUUGGGACCCGAAAGAUGGUGAACUAUGCCUGAAUAGGGUGAAGCCAGAGGAAACUCUGGUGGAGGCUCGUAGCGAUUCUGACGUGCAAAUCGAUCGUCAAAUUUGGGUAUAGGGGCGAAAGACUAAUCGGACCAUCUAGUAGCUGGUUCCUGCCGGAGUUCCCCUCCCAGGGAAA